AUCAAAAUAGCAAACAGGAUCCAUGUCAUGUCAUACUAGAUUGUUGCCAAGAAGGCUAAAUAACGCUCCAAACUUGCGCUAAAUUUUGGCGAGGAAAGAAUGUCAGUCAUUUUCAAAGGGGUCCCUUGACCUCUGACCUCAAGAUAUGUGAAUGAAAAUG